GACGAACGCUGGCGGCGUGCUUAACACAUGCAAGUCGAGCGGUAAGGCCCUUUCGGGGGUACACGAGCGGCGAACGGGUGAGUAACACGUGGGUGACCUGCCCUCAGCUCUGGGAUAAGCCUGGGAAACCGGGUCUAAUACCGGAUAUGACUCCAUGACGCAUGUUGUGGGGUGGAAAGCCUUGUGCGGCUGAGGAUGGGCCCGCGGCCUAUCAGCUUGUUGGUGGGGUGAUGGCCUACCAAGGCGACGACGGGUAGCCGGCCUGAGAGGCGACCGGCCACACUGGGACUGAGACACGGCCCAGACUCCUACGGGAGGCAGCAGUGGGGAAUCUUGCGCAAUGGGCGAAAGCCUGACGCAGCGACGCCGCGUGAGGGAUGACGGCCUCGGU
rnacentral:rRNA from 1 species